rnacentral:rRNA from 1 species
CUACGGGUCGCUCCAGUGAGGAAUAUUGCACAAUGGGGGAAACCCUGAUGCAGCAACGCCGCGUGGAGGAUGACGCAUUUCGGUGUGUAAACUCCUUUUAUAUGUCAAGAAAAUGACGGUAGCUUAUGAAUAAGCACCGGCUAACUCCGUGCCAGCAGCCGCGGUAAUACGGAGGGUGCAAGCGUUAUUCGGAAUCACUGGGCGUAAAGGACGCGUAGGCGGGAUAUCAAGUCAGGUGUGAAAUCCUAUGGCUCAACCAUAGAACUGCACUUGAAACUGGUAACCUAGAGUAUGGGAGGGGGAGAUGGAAUUAGUGGUGUAGGGGUAAAAUCCGUAGAUAUCACUAGGAAUACCGAAAGCGAAGGCGAUCUCCUGGAACAAUACUGACGCUAAGGCGUGAAAGCGUGGGGAGCAAACGGGAUUAGAUACCCUUGUAGUC